rnacentral:rRNA from 1 species
AGCUCCAAUAGCGUAUAUUAAAGUUGUUGCAGUUAAAAAGCUCGUAGUUGGAUUUGUGGUUUUUGUGUUUGCCUCGGCACUUGAUUGUGUUGUGGGUGAUUUGCAUGGACCAUCCUUGAGCGGAAUCCAUGUGGCAUUUGGUUGUCGUGUGGGGGAUGCUUAUCGUUUACUGUGAAAAAAUUAGAGUGUUCAAAGCAGGCUUAUGCCGUUGAAUAUAUUAGCAUGGAAUAAUGAGAUAGGACCUUGGUACUAUUUUGUUGGUUUGCGCACCUUGGUAAUGAUUAAUAGGGGUAGUUGGGGGUAUUGGUAUUCCAUUGUCAGAGGUGAAAUUCUUGGAUUUUUGGAAGACGAACUAUUGCGAAAGCAUUUACCAAGGAUGUUUUCAUUAAUCAAGAACGAA